GGGCGUGUAGCUCAGUUGGGAGAGCGCCUGCCUUGCACGCAGGAGGUUUCGUGAGUUCGAUCCUCACCACGUCCA
rnacentral:tRNA from 1 species